CAUUGGACUGUUGAAAUAUUGUUUUUUAUCUGGUGUGAAACUGUAAAGUUUAGGCCAUUAUCAUCACUGAAUCACAUUUCUUUUGAUUCUUGGAACAGUCGAUAUAAAGAAACUGAAUGCUUCAGAGUCCCUCAAUCAUAUGAACACAUAGGAGAUGCAUGCUUAACUACUUAUAACCUUAAUGGAAUAAUGGAUCAGUGAUGAAUGUUGAGGCAACCGUCAACAAACAAAUCGUCUUCAGCCAGCCAACCAAACACAGACAAGCACAUAAAUUCUCGUCAGGUCUGAAAAUGGGUGCCGAAGGAUGAACGCACGUUUGAAGAAGGGUCGGAAUGCAACGGGAUGUGGUUUAGACUUGGAAGGAACAACCAAGAAUUCAUGUCAUUGCACCGAAGUCCAGGUGGCGCUGUUUUGAGAUGUUUCAAUGAGCUUUAGGUUGGAGACUCCAGAACUUUGCUUUGUCAUUGCUUGCACCAAUGAGAUCAAUUGUUGCAGGAGACGAUGCCAGAGGUAGCAAUGUGAUGGUCGGUAUCAACAACGUGUGUGGAGGGACUGUUUCCCCGACCUUGGAGAAGUAACUCUUGAGCCCUGACCUCAUAAAUUGUUCGAUUCUGGAGAACUUUGUGGAUUAUACUGAAACAGUUGGUGUUUUGAACCAGGUUGGAGGACACCAGAAGGGCGUAGCUUGGCUUGGGAAGGUUCAGCUGCUCAGUCACCACCUGGGUCAGUGAAAGGGAAGACGGACAACCAAUAGAAGAAGGUAUAUGUCUGCAGACAACCUCUGAGAGUGAAGGUAGAGAGGAGCAAACCCUAUAAAAUGUCGGGUAAGAAAUUGAGAAGAAAAUGAUCAUUUUUCUGUAAACAGAAAAUCAACAGUAUGGGGAAUGGUUUGAGGCUCUUAGAGAGAAUGUGGCAUGUGCCGUUAAAUAUUGCUGAUGAGGGUCAAGAUUUUAGGCGCAUCUCGAACUUAUGUUUUUAUCUCCCCCUUCUCCCCUUCCCUUUUAAAGACCUUUUUUCUCCACUUCUCUUUCUCUUCGGUUAUUGUUGUAAGGUAUUUGAAAGGUAAACAUAUAUUUUCUCACCCACAAUUUAUGAUAUCAUAUCAAAUCAAUACACUCAAAUGAGACUUUGCUAGCCUACCCCCUUUCCCCUCCCCAUGGACCUUUGCCCUCCCCUGGCCCAUUGCCCCCUCCCUUCUCUUCCAGUCCCCCUCUCCUUCUCCCCCUUUGGCUACUGUAAAAGGGGGAUAGUUAUUUUCCAGCUCAUAUUAAUCAUUUCAAAUCAACUCAAAUUUAAUUCAAUAGAAUAAUUAUUUGUUGACCUUCUUUAAAAAAAAUAAACUUUUGGUAAAUUUCAUUUGACAUACAUACAGGUAGACUUGUAUACCUGUAUCAGGGAGUUGGCAGGAUCCUACCUGUAUAAAAUAUUUAGCUAUAAACCAGAAGGGCUAUGUGUGUUGUACCUGCUGGUCUUUGGUCUAAAGACAGACCAGGGUAAUAAUAUCCAAGUCCUUUAGAAACGCACACAGAGUUUGUAUAUCAUAUUAUAUGUCCUAUACAAGAACUGUGUAUGAUCAUUAUUAAUACCACAGAGUACAGAGGGUCAAAUGAUCGGUAACCUAAGCCCACCUGUUCAUCAAUAUAUUAAACAGUUUUGGAAAACUUGGGGGAGAUAAGUCAAGAAAUAAAUAUUGUGUAGUGGAGAAUGGUACCUGAUGGUAUUAUCAAAGGAAUUUUUGCACAUUAUAGGAGGGCUUUUAUUGAAUUUGAACAGCCUAACAGCUGUGUACAGAUGGGGGGGGGUGGCUUUGGGGGCGCUUGCCCUCCCCCCCCCCCCAUUUUUCACGACC